rnacentral:lncRNA from 7 species
ACAGCGCAGCACACAAGCGCAUCGCGCUAACCAUAAACAAGAACUACGACUCAGAUGUGCAGGCUGGCACUGAGACUUUUACUUAACAGAGAAUUGUUCUAGAGGAGGACUAGAGGGCCACAAUAAUGCUCCAUGGAAACACACACUUUGGAAGGUUAUUAGUUAAGUCUCAAUGGUGUUACUUUUUGCAAAAUUUGCACUGAACUUUAAUUUUGGGUGGUGUAUUCAUAAACUUGGGUCACUGGCUAUGAAAACUGUACUGCUUUCUCUAGGUGAUCAAUACUAUAUGCUGUUGAACUUAUAUCUUUUUAAUCACUAGGCUUUUGCAGCAUUUCGUAGGAAUUUGUUGAAUGUACGUAUACAUACAGAGACAGCAAAAACUGCCAUGCUUUCUUUCAUAAUUUUAAGGUGCCAAAAAAAGUCUUGUAAACAAUUGUGGGAACUGUGCUGUCCUUAAUUGCCUGAUUUUUGUUUCUUCCACAAGCAUUUAGGAAGGAUGCUGUUACAA